AUGCCACAAAAAAACACUAUUAUUCCCAAAGCCAUAGCCACAGUCUGCUUGAUUGAGUUAGCUGUAUCUUCUCAAAUCUGCAGCUUUAAAUUCAUUCAACAACCCAUAUAAGUUAAAAAUUGAAGAAUUAUAGUUUCGUCAACUCUUCAUUCUAUCACCAAUUUAAAGAUGGAUCGUACUUACUGGAUGUACCAUACCACACGUACAAGCUCGAUGUUUACGGAUGGCGUUCGAAAUUUUCUUAGGGUUGCCGAAACAAAUCGAUUGAAUAGUGGAAGUGGAUUGAUU
rnacentral:lncRNA from 1 species